CUUAGCAAACGUGAGGCCAUUUUCCUUCUAGACACCCUGCCUGUCUUUGUCUUCCAAUUUGAGCUCAGCGUCCUCCCUUCCCUUUCCUCUCUGGUUUUCAAUUUUCAGAUGCUCCCACCACCCUCCCAAUCCCUGAGCUGGGCCCACCCUUCCACCCACAGCCACCUCCCCACUUCGUGGCCUCUGACUCCCUGUGCCUGGCCCUCCCUCUCUGUGCCCACAGCCCUGGCUUGGCUGUUCUCUCCCCUCACCUUUUCCCUGGUCUUCAGCACUGACCCCAGCUGGCCCUGCUCAGACUUCCUGGCUUCCCCUUAUACCCAGGGCAGUGUCCCAGCCCUUCAGCCUGGCUUCGAGACACAGUUUUGUCUGGGCCUGGGCCACAGUGCCCUGUUUGUGCUCUGUGCUUUAGCAUAGCCCACUCAGGCACUCAGCAUUCUCAGCGGGGAUACAAGUGACUGUAGGUAGUAGACAGCUGGACUUGGGGUUAAAGAGUAGAAAUGUCAUUACCUCAUCCAAAAGAAGCUCAGAAGUGUGAGAGAGAGCAUUGGGGCCUGGCUGUCAAAGGCUGUACCUUUCUCUCAUCCUCUGUAAUAAAAAGACCCACAAACAUGAGCAUGAAGAAGAUAGAAGCAUAUUUGUCUCACGUGGGAGGUAGGUGGUUGGGUUCUGGACACCUCAAUUACAUGAGGAUUCAGGGCCCCCAGGUCCUCCCUAUUGUUGCUCAAUGUACCCAAACAUGGUGGGUUACUACUGCAUACAUGCUUCAGCCCAAGGGAAGGGGCAAAACCCCCAAGACAAAGGAAUUUUCUUUUAAGCAUAUGAUCCCAAAGUUGCAUCCCACACUCACUCUGCUAAUACUCCAUUGGUGAGCGUGUGGUCAUGCAGUCAUACCCUAGCUGCAAGGAGAGUCAGAGCAGCUGUGUGAGCUACAAGGGAGGCCAGGCAGCUGUGGGCUGGAUACAAUACUAGGACUAAAGGGAAGGAGAAAUGGGUCAAUGGGACUACUGCAGUGGGCCCUAUGGGACAGACCAAUUAGCCAAGAAGGGGCCACAUUUGAACUAUCAUCAAUCAAGUUCCAGUGAAGAGAGUCCAUAAAAAACUGCUAGUUGGGCCCCGAUGCUGUUCCUAGAGGCAGGAGAUACUGCUGUUGUGCAGGAUCCAGGAGAGGUGACUGGAGGAGGAAACAGAAAGAGACCAAAUCCCUAGCUUCCCCCUGGUUCAUACGCCUCCCUCUGGGUCCCUUUUUCAGACAGAGCCUGACAAGAACCCAACUGUCCAAGCAGAUAUGUGGUCAUUAGAGUCUUGGCUUCAGCAUCUCAGAGUGAAGAAGGGUGAGAUCCAACAGCUGGCUUGUGAGCUACUCUAGGGUGGCAUGGAUGACAGGUGAUGCUCAUUCAAGCAGAAGCAUACUGAGGAAUGGAUAGUGGGUUCUCUGUCCUCAGCUGCCCUCCUGGUGGACAUGGAGGCCCCAGAAGAGAUGCCACCUCGAAGCCUGGGAGGCCUGUCAAAUCCUCGUGAGUGGCCCUUGGUUCUAUGACUUCUGACCUCCACUGCUCCUCUAGAUGUGACAGCAGGGACUUCCUGACCUUGGAGGACCCUGCCUGUCAUCUCUCUCUCAGGAAGCAGUGCCUACAGCAGGUCAGUUGCAGAAUAUGAGGCUCUGGACUCGAGAGCUGCCAUGCAUACGGAAGUUCUCCACACCACCUGCCUCCCAGCCUCUCCGCCUUGUGCAUGGAGACCUUGGUGAGGUCUCCUCCUUGUGACAGCUCCUUGGUUUCC
ensembl:lncRNA